rnacentral:rRNA from 1 species
CCUACGGGUGGCAGCAGUGGGGAAUAUUGGGCAAUGGGCGCAAGCCUGACCCAGCAACGCCGCGUGAAGGAAGAAGGCUUUCGGGUUGUAAACUUCUUUUAUGAGGGAAGAACAGAAGACAGUACCUCUUGAAUAAGCCCCGGCUAACUACUGGCAAGCAGCCGGGGUAAUACGUAGGUGGCAAGCGUUGUUCGGAUUUACUGGGUGGAAAGGGCGUGCAGGCGGGAAGACAAGUCAGAUGUUAAAUCCCGGGGCACAACCGCGGAACUGCAUUUGAAACAGUUUUUCUUGAGUACCGGAGAGGUAAUCGGAAUUCCAUGUGUAGCGGUGAAAUGCGUAGAUAUAAGGAAGAACACCAGUGGCGAAGGCGGAUGACUGGACGGCAACUGACGGUGAGGCCCGAAAGCGUGGGGAGCAAACAGGAUUAGAUACCAGGGUAGUC